rnacentral:snoRNA from 1 species
GUUUGGGUGAUGACUUUAUAACAAUUUGUCGGAUACCCCUUCACUCAUGUUAUGAGUGAGAACAAAAGUCUGACAAAC